GUCUAUGGCCAUGUCACUCUGAAUAAGCCCAAUGUCUGAUCUCAGAAGCUAAGCAGGGUCGGGCCUGGUUAGUACUUGGAUGGGAGACCACCUAGGAAGACCAGUUGCUGUAGGCA
rnacentral:rRNA from 1 species